UACGAAGGGGGCGAGCGUUGUUCGGAUUUACUGGGCGUAAAGGGCGCGUAGGCGGCGCGGCAAGUCGAGUGUGAAAGCCCCGGGCUCAACCUGGGAAUUGCGCUCGAGACUGUGGCGCUGGAGUUCGGGAGAGGAGCGUGGAAUUCCCAGUGUAGAGGUGAAAUUCGUAGAUAUUGGGAAGAACACCGGUGGCGAAGGCGGCGCUCUGGACCGAGACUGACGCUGAGGCGCGAAGGCGUGGGGAGCAAACAGG
rnacentral:rRNA from 1 species